UUGGGCAAUGGGCGAAAGCCUGACCCAGCCACGCCGCGUGUGUGAUGAAGGCUUCGGGUCGUAAAGCACUGUGGGGAGAGACGAAACAGCGCAUCAGGAAAUGGUUGCGCCUUGACGGUACCUCCUUAGCAAGCACCGGCUAACUCUGUGCCAGCAGCCGCGGUAAUACAGAGGGUGCAAACGUUGCUCGGAUUUACUGGGCGUAAAGCGCGUGUAGGCGGACUCGCAAGUCGGUUGUGAAAUCCCUGGGCUCAACCUAGGAACUGCAUCCGAAACUGCUUGUCUUGAGUAAUGGAGAGGGUGGCGGAAUUCCCGGUGUAGAGGUGAAAUUCGUAGAUAUCGGGAGGAACAUCAGUGGCGAAGGCGGCCACCUGGACAUUUACUGACGCUGAGACGCGAAAGCGUGGGGAGCAAACAGGAUAUAGAUACCCUGGUAGUCCACGCCGUAAACGAUGAGAACUAGGUGCAGCGGAUAUUGA
rnacentral:rRNA from 1 species